AGCUUUCUGAAUCCGUGCUGAGAUUUCGUCAGAAACCAACCCAUUUGGGCUGAUCAGAUAUCUAAGAUAAGUGAAGUG
rnacentral:pre_miRNA from 1 species